ACGGAGGAUGCGAGCGUUAUCCGGAUUUAUUGGGUUUAAAGGGUGCGUAGGCGGAUAGAUAAGUCAGUGGUGAAAACCUGCAGCUUAACUGUAGAAUUGCCGUUGAUACUGUCAGUCUUGAGUAUGGUAAAGGUAGGCGGAAUGUGUGAUGUAGCGGUGAAAUGCUUAGAUAUUACACAGAACACCAAUUGCGAAGGCAGCUAGCUGGGCCAUAACUGACGCUGAUGCGCGAAAGCGUGGGGAGCGAACAG
rnacentral:rRNA from 1 species